rnacentral:rRNA from 1 species
CAGCCGCCGCGGUAAUACGAAGGGGGCUAGCGUUGUUCGGAUUUACUGGGCGUAAAGGGCGCGUGGGCGGACUGAUAAGUCAGGGGUGAAAUCCCAAGGCUCAACCUUGGAACUGCCUUUGAUACUGUUUGUCUCGAGUUCGAGAGAGGUAAGUGGAACUGCGAGUGUAGAGGUGAAAUUCGUAGAUAUUCGCAAGAACACCAGUGGCGAAGGCAGCUUUCUGGACGGGUACUGACGCUCAGGCGCGAAAGCCGAGGUAGCGAACAGGAUUAGAUACCCCCGUAGUCCCUGUCUCUUAUAC